rnacentral:rRNA from 1 species
UCGCAAGACCUUGCGCUAAAGGAGCGGCCGAUGUCUGAUUAGCUAGUUGGUGGGGUAAAAGCCUACCAAGGCGACGAUCAGUAGUUGGUCUGAGAGGACGACCAACCACACUGGGACUGAGACACGGCCCAGACUCCUACGGGAGGCAGCAGUGGGGAAUUUUGGACAAUGGGCGAAAGCCUGAUCCAGCCAUGCCGCGUGAGUGAAGAAGGCCUUCGGGUUGUAAAGCUCUUUCAGUCGGAAAGAAACGAUUGUGAUUAAUACUCACAAUUAAUGACGGUACCGACAGAAGAAGCACCGGCUAACUACGUGCCAGCAGCCGCGGUAAUACGUAGGGUGCGAGCGUUAAUCGGAAUUACUGGGCGUAAAGGGUGCGCAGGCGGUCUUGUAAGUCAGAUGUGAAAUCCCCGGGCUUAACCUGGGAAUUGCGUUUGAAACUACAAAGCUAGA